rnacentral:siRNA from 1 species
GAGAUGGGCUUCGUGAUCCGAUGG